AUGCACUGAACCCAUGCAAUUUUAUAAAGCAAAAGCUACUCUCCUGACCUGUGAGAAUAAAUGUCACUCUGUGAUAUUGGGGAAGGAUCAUGCCCUGGAGAAUGUGCCCACCUCCCUCACUGCAGUGCAUGUAUCACUAUGAUGCCCACAGAGUAAGGAUGCUUUCUCUUCCUAAAGAAGAAUGGAACAUAUGCGAAGCAGUCAUUUUACUCACAACAAGGUCAGAGAACAAAGCACUCUGAAACCAAAUGAGGAAAUUGGGAUGUGAAGAUAAUGAUUUGGAAAUCUAUCUGAAAAUAUGUUAACCAGUCAAGACAGCAUUUAUUUUGAAGAGCGGCAUUAUAAUUUGGCAUGGGCAUUUUUUUUUCUGAGCAUUUUUUGUCACUUUCAGAAAGAUCUAUUAUGAUAUGUAGUGCUGAAGGGAACAUGUUGACAUGUCUGAGAGCUAAAACAAACGUGAAGAAUGAAGCUGAAAAUAGCCGGCUGUGAAGAAAGCAUUAAAAAGCACUGGGUGGCACUCAGCGUUGUACAUCUACAAUUCUGAGGUUUGUAGGGAGAAGGCGAUAACAUGGCACUUAUAGCCAGCUUUCCUGAGAAGGAUUUAAGAGAGGCACACCGCCUGCUACCAUAGGCUAAGGUAUCUACAUAUCUACACACUGCCAUGGCCAAUAGGGAUACACAGGAAAAAGAUGCAGCUGCACCCCCUCUUUGCACUGUGCAUUCCUGAAAAGCUCUGUGCAAAUCAAAUCCAAUGAUAAAACCAGAAAUGAUUCAUCUUUUCUGAUUGAUCUUCACUAAGAAUGACUCUUAAUCUUUAAACUUAAAGACUCUUUGUCUGAGAUACAAGGGGUAAAGCUUUCUUUUCAAUCUAGUGGAUCCUAAAUAUUAGGGUUUUUUUAAAUUCAUAAGCGAAUUUUAUUAUUUCUCCAAGAAAACAAAAAUAAACAGUAAGACUAAUUUCAGAUAAGAUUUUUUUUUUAAUUUGUUUGUUGGCACCCAUGUCAUGUGGAAGUUCCCAGGCCAGGGAUCCAACCCACACCACAGUUGCACAGCUGUGUCUAUGUGGGAUUCUUAACCCACUGUGGAAAAAAGGAACCUCCCUAAAUAUUAGUUGCUAUAAAGUUUUCAUCAGGCUGUGAUGAAAUAAGAAAUGUAAAGUAGUCAGUUUUUUGGAAGAAAAAUUUAUUCAAAUUAUAUUACUUUGUAUUAUUCUGAGAUUAUGUUUUUUCUUUCCUUUUUUGUAUUAAAAAUGCAAGACUUUUUUUUCUGAAAUAAUGUUGAUAAUAGAUGUUCAUUUUAGUGUUCUGCCUAAAAUCUUACUAGUUUAGGAGAUCCAAAACCAUUGGGGCCACAAUAUACAACUACCCAAACCAUCUCAAUCCAAUCCCAAGUUCCAUCACAAACACUUAAAUAAAUGUAAAACUUUCUUUUUUAAAAAAAUGACUUUUAUUUUUUCCAUUAUAGUUAUUUUUUCCACUAUAUAUAUAUUCUUUUUCUCACAUUAUCCUCCAUUAUGCUCCAUCACAAGUGACUAGAUAUAGUUCCCAGUGCUAUACAGGAGGCUCUCACUGCUUAUCCAUUCCAAAUACAGUAGUUUGCAUCUACUAACCCCAGAUUCCCAGUCUAUCCCACUCUCUUCCCCUCCCCCUCAACAACCGCAAGUCUGUUCUCCAAGUCCAUGAGAUUCUUUCUGUGGAAAGGUUCAUUUGUGCCAUAUAUUAGAUUCCAGAUAUAUGAUAUCAUAUGGCAUUUGUCUUUCUCUUUCUGGCUUACUUCAUCUAAUAUGAGAGUCUCUAGUUCCAACCAUGUUGCUGCAAAUGGCAUUAUUUUCCCUUUUUAUGGCUGAGUAGUAUUCCAUUGUGUAUAUAUACCACAUCUUCUUAAUCCAUUCAUCUGUUGAUGGACAUUUAGGUUGUUUCCUUGUCUUGGCUAUUGUGAACAUGUGGGUGCAUGUAUCUUUUUCAUUGCAAGUUGUCCAGAUAUAGGCCCAAGAGUGGGAUUUCUGGGUCAUAUGGUAGUUCUAUAUUUAGUUUUCUGAUGUACCUCUAUACUGUUUUCCAUAGCAGUUGUACCAAUUUACAAUAAAUGUAAAACUUUAUUUGUAAGGAAAAUAUGCCAUGCCUCAUCUUGUAACCCAUAGAGGUAUCUUCUAGAAUUCCUGGCUUUUAACAAUAGCUACUACAUAUCCCUUCCCUUUAGCAAACUCAUCACUCUGGUGAUAUGAAUAAUAAUAAGGUGUGUACACUUAAAAUACAAAUUCUACCACCUAGAAGUUCAUAUUUUACAGGUUACAUUUGUCAAUGCUCUUAGCAAUAAGAAAUAGAAUUAUCUCUCUCUCUCUUUUUUUUAAUUUUAUGGCUACAUCUGUGGUAUAUGUAAGUUUCCAGGCUAGUGGUUGAAUCAGAGCUGCAGUUGCCAGCCUACAUCAUGGCCACGGUAAGGCCAGAUCCUAGCUGCAUCUGUGACCUAUGCUGCAGCUUGUGGCAAUGCUGAUCCUUAAUUACUGAGCAAGGCUGGGGAUUGAACCCACAUCCUCAUGGACAUGUUGGGUUCUUAAUCUACUGAGCCACAAGAGGAACUCUAAGAAAUGGAAUUUAAGUAUUCCCUACCCUUUGAGAUUGUUUCUGAAAUUAAAUAAGAUAAUGCAUGUAAAACACAUAGGAAGAAAAAGGUUUACUAUUACCAAUUCCCUGAAGAGUUAUUUCAUGGUAAAAAUAUUGGUUAUCUUAGCACAGCCAUGCAGAUUACAAGUAAAGAUUAGAAGUAAAACUAUACUAAACCUCAAAAACAAAUAUAUGUGAUAGUUUGUGUACUCUGAUUUGCUGCACUGAGUCUGAUUUGACAUACAGUUAACAUAGGACGUUGAGUGCUUUUGCUGUCAAGCAUAAGUCUAGGUCACUAUUACCCCAUUCCCAGACCAUCACCACAGGAGAGAUUCUGCUUAGCACCCUACACCAUAAUGCAUAUUUCAGUGGGAAUGACAGAUGUUAACCACCAAAAUAUGUGAUUGUAAAUGCUGACAAGUCUAUGGCAGAAGUGCAUGGUAAAAUAGGAAUGUGUGGCUGACGGUCCCACUGUGGGCCAGCAACUUCCCUGUGGAUAUGAUAUUUGAACUCAGAUUAAUAGAACAAUUAGAAGUUAAUGAAGUAUCCCCUUCAAGGCAAGAGAUCAAGAUCAGGAAUCAGGAGGGAAUAGGGUGAAUUAAAACAUUGAAGUUUAGUGUCACUGUAGCUCAAUGGGUUAGAAGAUGGAAAAUGGUGUCAUGGUGAAGAAAAACUAUCUCCUCCGGAAAUGCAGGGGGACAAACUGAUCUGAAAAGACCCCCCACCCAAAUAAAGAUAAAAAUGAUCAACAGUUAAUGAAAGGUGCUUUUAAUUAUAUUGCCAAUUUCAAAAGGAAGCAAAAGAAAGUUCCACAAGGUAGAAAGUAAGAGGAAAAGGAAAUCUAGAGGGUUAAGACUUACAUUGCAGGGAUCCACAGUGUUUCAGAUGUUGGCCAUCUGGGUGGGAGCUAAGGUCCUAAAGCUCAUGCAGAGGCAAGAGACAGGCUGUAUGAGGUGUGGACUAGAACCACAUUCCCUACAGAAGAUCCAGGGGCUCAAUUCUCUCUCAGCCUCAGAGACUAGAUGUGCACCCACUCAUUGAUCCAUAGAAGUAUUUUCAUUUGAGCCAGACUCCAUGUGGAAAAAUAAAAACUGCAGACUUAGAGUUCCUGUUGUGGUUCAGAGGAUUAAGAGCUUGACUAGUAUCCAUGAGGAUGCAGAUUUGAUCCCUCAUCUCAUUCAGUUGAUUAAGGAUCAACAUUGCUGCAAGCUCUAGGGCAGAAGGCAGAUACAGCUCAAAUCUGGCAUAGCGAUGGCCGUGGUGUAGGCCAGAAGCUGCAGCUCUGAUUCAGCUGCUAGACUGGGAACCUCCAUAUGUCACAGGUGUGGCCCUAAAAAAACAAAAACUGGAGACCAGCUCCAAUUCAAGAUUUGAGGUAGAAAUGAACACUACCUAAACAGUGUGGAAAUAUUAAGGAGAGAAAGGAACACAAGACAUUUUUCAGAGGUCUAUGGAUAACUCUAAGGCUUCCAGCAGAAGAAUGUCCUGUUACACUGUGUAAAAUGUAUUAACAAUCAAGCAUGUUUGAACACCUCAAAAAUGUUUUAAAAUUUAACACUCCACUGAAGAUGAAUUCCCAAUUAAAAAUGACAAAUCAUACCAUAAAAUCAACCACCACAGGGGAGACAGAAGUACCUUUUCCAUGAAGAUAAAGAAGCUAAAGUUUCAAACUGUUUAGUUGCAUAAGCCUCUUCAAAGACUGUGGAAGAGGGUUUGGCAAUAUGUACUCCUGGCCAUAUAUGUAUUCAUAAAACAUUAAAGUAAGAUUUUUUUAAGGCCAAUUGAUUUACACUCUCUAUUUUCACUUGAAUUUCCCUGUCAUCAUAGUUUGUCUUGUGUUGAUGAAAGUAGAUUGACCUUGAAUAUUUUUUGGAUUCACCUAGGGGAAGCUUACUGGGAUACCCCCAUGCAGUUUCCAAUCACCUUCUUGUCUAGAUAAGUUAUUACUGAUUCACUGUAAGAGUGAGUUCCAGGCAAACUUCCAUGGCACCC
rnacentral:lncRNA from 1 species